UAGGGAAUAUUGCGCAAUGGGCGAAAGCCUGACGCAGCGACGCCGCGUGUGGGAGGAAGCCUUUCGGGGUGUAAACCACUGUCAGAGGGGAAGAACUCCGCCGUUUCGAAUAGGAUCGGCGACUGACGGUACCCUCAGAGGAAGCGCCGGCUAACUCCGUGCCAGCAGCCGCGGUAAGACGGAGGGCGCAAGCGUUGUUCGGAAUUACUGGGCGUAAAGCGCGGGCAGGUGGUUCGUUAAGUCGUUUGUGAAAAUCCGGGGCUCAACCCCGCGAAAUGCAAGCGAUACUGGCGAGCUGGAGAUCGGUAGAGGCUAGCGGAAUUCCUGGUGUAGCGGUGGAAUGCGUAGAUAUCAGGAAGAACACCCGUGGCGAAGGCGGCUAGCUGGGCCGAGUCUGACACUCAUCCGCGAAAGCGUGGGGAGCAAACAGGAUUAGAUACCCGCGUAGUCC
rnacentral:rRNA from 1 species